CACCUGCGCCACGAGUGGGGAUCGGUUUUAUUGGGCCUAAAGCGUUCGUAGCUGGUUUAGUAAAUCUUUUGUGAAAUUGUUAAGCUCAACUUAACAACGUGCAGAAGUCACUGCUAAACUUGAGACCGGGAGGAGUUAGGAGUAUUCUAGGGGGAGCGGUAAAAUGUUAUAAUCCCUAGAGGACUACCUGUGGCGAAGGCGCCUAACCAGAACGGUUCUGACAGUGAGGAACGAAAGCUAGGGGAGCAAAACGGAUUAGAUACCCUCGUA
rnacentral:rRNA from 1 species